AGUGAACGCUGGCGGUAGGCCUAACACAUGCAAGUCGAACGGCAGCACAGUAAGAGCUUGCUCUUACGGGUGGCGAGUGGCGGACGGGUGAGGAAUACAUCGGAAUCUACUUUUUCGUGGGGGAUAACGUAGGGAAACUUACGCUAAUACCGCAUACGACCUACGGGUGAAAGCAGGGGAUCUUCGGACCUUGCGCGAUUGAAUGAGCCGAUGCCGGAUUAGCUAGUUGGCGGGGUAAAGGCCCACCAAGGCGACGAUCCGUAGCUGGUCUGAGAGGAUGAUCAGCCACACUGGAACUGAGACACGGUCCAGACUCCUACGGGAGGCAGCAGUGGGGAAUAUUGGACAAUGGGCGCAAGCCCGAUCCAGCCAUACCGCGUGGGUGAAGAAGGCCUUCGGGUUGUAAAGCCCUUUUGUUGGGAAAGAAAAGCAGCAGGUUAAUACCCCACUGUUCUGACGGUACCCAAAGAAUAAGCACCGGCUAACUUCGUG
rnacentral:rRNA from 1 species